UACGAAGGGUGCAAACGUUGCUCGGAAUUAUUGGGCGUAAAGCGCACGUAGGCGGCUUGGCAAGUCGGAUGUGAAAUCCCUCGGCUCAACCAAGGAAGUGCAUCCGAAACUGCCGAGCUUGAGUACUUAAGAGGAUCGCGGAAUUCCCGGUGUAGAGGUGAAAUUCGUAGAUAUCGGGAGGAACACCAAUGGCGAAGGCAGCUCGCUGGGACGUUACUGACGCUGAGACGCGAAAGCGUGGGGAGCAAACAGG
rnacentral:rRNA from 1 species